UCAAGCUGUGCAAAAUCCAAGUUAGCCUUUUUUAAUAAUGGCUCAAAACAGUGUGCUUAGAAUGCUCCACAAAGGGGAAGUUGUCAUUCCUUUACUGUCGGGUUCCGGGGUUUUUGUUCUGUUUUUUCUUUAUUUUUGGAUCCUCUUGGUGGUUCACGGGCUGUCCACCGGAUAGCGCCAGGGGCUGGUUUCCCGGGGGAGGCGUGCCUGUAGUUCUGCACACCUGACGAUGAUCUUCUCAUCAUAAGCUGGUGGUGAAAAGACGCUGACAGCCGGCACUUCGACGCUGGAGUGUUUUCGCCAAAACGGUACUCUGAGCCCCUCGGAGUCAGUCUCCGAGUUCGUUUCCUCUGAGUUCCCUCUUGAGUAAUUUGUCGUUUUGUUCUCUGUGCUCUUCAGGUGUUUCCUCUCGAGUCAUUCCCUGGAUCCUCCCUGAGAGACUUCCGUUGUGGCUUUUGGAUUAAGCCCUCCACGUGACGCUGCGGGUGGUACCCACACGUUGCCCGAGAUCCCAUUUCCUCCUCAUCUGUCAGAUCUCAAGAUUCCCCAGUUUCACUUCCUCCGGCUGGCUGUCGGACCCUUCCCUCCAUCAUCGUCGAAUCCAGAACUUACCUGUCCGCCCUCCACUGCCAUCUCCCAGCCUUUGGACCUCGCUCAGCUCUCCUGCCCAACCGGAACCCGCAGUAUCCAUCCUCUCAAUCCGAGACUAUAUCUACCAGAAAUCAGCAGCAUUCCCCCCCAGUUUGGACCCUAACCACGCCAACAUCUUUACUGGGUUAUUGUUUUACACUAAAUAUUCUUCAACUGA